rnacentral:rRNA from 1 species
GACGUAGGGGGCAAGCGUUGUUCGGAAUUAUUGGGCGUAAAGCGCUCGUAGGCGGGACUGGAAGUCCGUGUUGAAAGACCUCGGCUCAACUGAGGGACCGGCUCGGAUACUCUAGUUCUUGAGGCAAUCAGAGGGUGAUGGAAUUCCCGGUGUAGCGGUGAAAUGCGUAGAUAUCGGGAAGAACACCCAUGGCGAAGGCAGCUCUCUGGGACGGUACUGACGCUGAGACGCGAAAGCGUGGGGAGCGAACAGG